GUGAGGAAUAUUGCGCAAUGGACGCAAGUCUGAUCCAGCCAUGCCGCGUGAAGGAUUAAGGUCCUCUGGAUUGUAAACUUCUUUUAUAAGGGACGAAAAAAGGCUUUUCUAAGUCGUCUGACGGUACCUUAUGAAUAAGCACCGGCUAACUCCGUGCCAGCAGCCGCGGUAAUACGGAGGGUGCAAGCGUUAUCCGGAUUCACUGGGUUUAAAGGGUGCGUAGGCGGGCAGGUAAGUCAGUGGUGAAAUCCUAGAGCUUAACUCUAGAACUGCCAUUGAUACUAUCUGUCUUGAAUAUUGUGGAGGUAAGCGGAAUAUGUCAUGUAGCGGUGAAAUGCUUAGAUAUGACAUAGAACACCUAUUGCGAAGGCAGCUUACUACGCAUAUAUUGACGCUGAGGCACGAAAGCGUGGGGAUCAAACAGGAUUAGAAACCCGAGUAGUCC
rnacentral:rRNA from 1 species